CAAAGGCAACUUCCUUAAUUAAGAGAACCGGUGACAGAACGGCUAUGCGGAUCAGAAUUUGCCAGUCUGUGUUCCCAGGUCGAAGGGCAAUGCUGGCCCAACGUUUGUUUAGGAGAAUAGUAAAUCAUCAACCACACGAGGCCCAGCUUCUUUCCGGGAUAGUUUUCGUGGGAUUUAGAGAGCCUGGGCCUGGGCUCUGGUUACGGGAACUGAGGGUGUGGGCCCCGUGCUCGGGGGGGAGAACUGCAGAUCGUUUUCACCAGCAUUGAAGUGCCUACGAAAUGGAUAACUCCAAAGGUUCCUUAACCGGGGACACUGCUGUGAAUUCAGAGUGCUGCUUGCCUUUUGCCUGGGAGGAACAGUUGGGGCAGUCACAAAAGAAAAAAGGUCUUGUCCGAAUCACAGCACCCCUGAAAGAUUAGGGAGAAGAAACGUAAAGAAAUCAUAUCUGAGGUAGUGUGAUUAUCAAGCUGUUCUGGAAUUAUUUAAUCUAGCCAGUAUGGAAAACAAGGGAGAGGAGCAGGAAGGACAUCUCGGCGGUUGAGGGCACUUGCGGAAUGUCUGCAAGACUGGAGUUUUGUUCCCAGCACCCCAUCAGGCGGCUCACAACCUCCAGUAACUCCAGCUCCAGGGAAUCUGACGCCCUCUUCUGCCCUCCACGGGCACUGGACAUGUGGAAUACACUCACAUGCACAUGGAUACACAUAAAUUAAAAAGAAUAAUAACACAAUUUUAAGCGUAACUUUUCCUUUAAAAACAAAG
rnacentral:lncRNA from 1 species